rnacentral:rRNA from 1 species
GAUGAACGCUGGCGGCGUGCCUCAAACAUGCAAGUCGAGCGGGGCUAUGUAAUAUCGCAAGGUAGAACAUAGCCUAGCGGCGAACGGGUGAGUAACACGUGGGUAACCUGCCUGGAAGACAGGGAUAACGAUUCGAAAGGGUCGCUAAUACCUGAUAAUAUCCUUUCAUCGCAUGGUGAUAGGAAGAAAGGGGAAACCCGCUUUCAGAUGGGCCCGCGUCCCAUCAGCUAGUUGGUAAGGUAAAGGCUUACCAAGGCGACGACGGGUAGCCGGUCUGAGAGGAUGUACGGCCACACUGGGACUGAGAUACGGCCCAGACUCCUACGGGAGGCAGCAGUUGGGAAUCUUAGGCAAUGGACGAAAGUCUGACCUAGCGACGCCGCGUGAGGGAAGAAGGCCUUCGGGUUGUAAACCUCUAGUCAUGGGGAAGAAGUAAGUGACGGUACCCCAAGAGGAAGCCCCUGCUAACUACGUG